rnacentral:rRNA from 1 species
UGCCAGCAGCCGCGGUAACAAGGGGGGCGCAAGCGUUAUUCGGAAUUAGUGGGCGUAAAGGGCACGCAGGCGGCUAGGCAAGUUGGUGGUGAAAGCCCUCGGCUCAACCGAGGAAUUGCCCCCAAAACUGCCUGGCUUGAGUCCCGGAGAGGGUGACGGAAUUCCCAGUGUAGCGGUGAAAUGCGUAGAUACUGGGAGGAACACCAGUGGCGAAGGCGGUCACCUGGACGGGUACUGACGCUCAUGUGCGAAAGCGUGGGGAGCAAACAGGAUUAGAUA